rnacentral:tRNA from 1 species
UCCCUGAUAGCUCAGUUGGUUAGAGCGAAUGACUGUUAAUCAUUAUGUCGUAGGUUCAAUCCCUACUUGGGGAG